rnacentral:lncRNA from 10 species
CCCUCCUUUGAUUAAAAGGCGCUGGUCUCUUAAUCCCCAUGGAGGGCAAUUCCCCACUAAAAGCUGGAGAAGUUAGCACUCUUUAAAGAACGAUCUUCUUUGAGGUUUGCAGACUCUCUCUAUUGUCCUCUUGGCUUACGCCCUUUGAAGAAGGAAGCUGCCAUAUUGGAGAGGCCCAUGAGGCAAGGAAUUGAGGGCAGGUUCUGGCCAACAGUCACUGAAGAACUGAGGCCCUUAGUCCGUCAGCCCAUGAGGAACUGCAUCCUGUCAAUGACCACGUGAGCUUGCAAUCAAAUCCUCAUCCCACUGAGCCUUGAGAUGACUCUGCUCCCAAGCAUCACCUUGACUCAGUGACCCUGAAGUAGAGGACCCAGGCAGCGUCUUCAGACUUCCAAAUAAGCCUGAAGAGGACAGGAGAGCGAGCAAUGUCUCCCUGAAUGGGACUACAGGGGACGCUGGUAACCGCACCUCAUUCAGCAACUUGAGAAACAUCAGCAAUAAUACUACAAGCAAUCGCUUAGGUACUUGACUGUGAGCAGGAAUAUGAGACAAGUGGAACACACUGGCUCUCAUUUUUUAAAGAUGAUUUCACCUUAAGAGGCCGUGGAACCCCAAAGUCAACCCCCAAGCAUCCCCAGAAGAAAAGUACACUUUGAAUAAUUACAGUCCUUUAACUUUCCUGAUUCAACCUUCAAAGGCCACGAAUUGCUUCUAACGAAGAAGCUGAAGUGAAAGAAGAAGGAACGUCAACAAAAAUGUCUGUUUGUGUUAUCUCUUUACUUUCACGGUUUAUAGGUUUGGGGGAAAGUUUUUAUUUUCGGUGGAAUAGAAGAAGGGAAGAAGAGAGACUAAAAAGCAUUUCUUAGAUUUCCAGAAGCAGUAAUGGAAAAUCCCGACCCUAGAGUCUUGCUUUCUUCCUAGAAAUAGAAUGCUCCUGAAGUUCCCAGGAGAGCCCUUGGCAGACAGAUGUCAAUCAUUCCAUCCCUUGUUUUGCUGGGUGGAGUCACUGGAGCUUAAAGAAGGGGAAGUAAACUCAAGCACACAUCCUGGUGACCUCUAGCCACGGGUCAAAUUUCACUGAUGUCAAUUAAAAAUGACCAAAGACCCGCCCCUGUGAAAACCCUGUGGGCAGCCAUUUUGUCUCAGGGAAACUGCCCAGAUCUGAUGUAAAGUAUUUCCGGACGUCUCUUCGUUGUAUAUGGCAUUUCCCUGAAAUAAGCAACUCUCUGAAAAAUAUCAUAGCGCAGAUCAAAAUGAAGUACUCUGUGGUGAAGUAGAAGUACACAGUCAACAAAGAAACUUGCCCUCAGGCUGCACAGUAAAACGUUGGAAAUCCCAGAGCAGCAACUUGGAAAUCCCACCUGCUACAUAUUUGCCUGAGUACUUUAAGGUUCUAUGGACAAUUGUCUCUCUGCGUAGAUUAACCUUAAAUAAACUUGUUGCGUUUUGAGGUGG